rnacentral:rRNA from 1 species
CAAUAGCGUAUAUUAAAGUUGUUGCAGUUAAAAAGCUCGUAGUUGGAUUUCUGGCAGGAGCGACCGGUCACACACUCUGUGUGUGAACUUGCGUUGUCUCUGGCCAUCCUUGGGAAGAUCCUGUUUGGCAUUAAGUUGUCGGGCAGGGGAUACCCAUCGUUUACUGUGAAAAAAUUAGAGUGUUUAAAGCAGGCUUAUGCCGUUGAAUAUAUUAGCAUGGAAUAAUAAGAUAGGACUUCGGAACUAUUUUGUUGGUUUGCGUUACGAAGUAAUGAUUAAUAGGGACAGUUGGGGGUAUUCGUAUUUCGUUGUCAGAGGUGAAAUUCUUGGAUUUCCGAAAGACGAACUACUGCGAAAGCGUUUACCAAGGAUGUUUUCAUUAA